AUACGUAGGUGGCAAGCGUUGUCCGGAUUUAUUGGGCGUAAAGCGAGCGCAGGCGGUUUCUUAAGUCUGAUGUGAAAGCCCCCGGCUCAACCGGGGAGGGUCAUUGGAAACUGGGAAACUUGAGUGCAGAAGAGGAGAGUGGAAUUCCAUGUGUAGCGGUGAAAUGCGUAGAUAUAUGGAGGAACACCAGUGGCGAAGGCGGCUCUCUGGUCUGUAACUGACGCUGAGGCUCGAAAGCGUGGGGAGCAAACAGGAUUAGAUACCCUGGUAGUCCACGCCGUAAACGAUGAGUGCUAAGUGUUGGGGGGUUUCCGCCCUUCAGUGCUGCAGCUAACGCAUUAAGCACUCCGCCUGGGGAGUACGACCGCAAGGUUGAA
rnacentral:rRNA from 1 species